GUACACGCGGUAAACGAUGGAUACUAGAUGUAGCCGGUCUCGACCCCGGCUGUGUAGUAGCUAACGCAAUAAGUAUCCAGCCUGGGGAGUAUGGCCGCAAGGUUGAAACUCAAAGGAAUUGACGGGGACCCCGCACAAGCGGUGGAGGAUGUGGUUUAAUUCGACGCAACGCGAAGAACCUUACCAAGGCUUGACAUCCACAGAAUCUGGUAGAAAUAUCGGAGUGUUCGAAAGAAACUGUGAGACAGGUGGUGCAUGGCUGUCGU
rnacentral:rRNA from 1 species